rnacentral:lncRNA from 1 species
GAACGACGUAUGGUGUCAAGUUUGUCACCUUCACAAAGUUAUUCCGUCACCUAGUGAGGAUAAUAUAAGAUAGAGAGGGUAGAUGAGUCUUAUUAAUAGUGAAGAGUUUACACAAUACCACGUUAGCAUGAAUUGGUUCCAAGUGAAAUAUCCUGUAAUUAAAAUUCUAUAUACGCUUGAUUGGCUAUCAUCAACACUAGUCAACUAAAUUCUAUAUAUGCUUGACUGAUCAUCACCAACCCGUAUGAUUUGAGACAAUUGGGAGUUCGCACAUGCAAUUGUUGUAGCCAUGGGGAAUAAUUGUUCUAUGCUGAGUGGCGUUCUAGAAAUAUGUGCAGAUUGUUCAAGAAGGUGGUGUGGUGAAUUAUUAGUAAUUAUGUGUUGAUGGAUCUAAUUUAAUUUGUGAAUUUUUUUUGGUUUAUGUUGGAUGAAUUAUGCAUUAUAUGUGUAACAUUGUAAGUAUACUCUUGAUGAUGAUACGAACAAAGAGGUUGAUGAAGUUGAUGGAGGCGGCGUUGGAGGGAGGUUCACCGGUGAGCGCUAUGCGUUAGAAGUGGAGCACCUCGAAAUAGUAGUUUAAAUUUUUUUUUUAGGACACUAUUUAAAUUUAAGGUUUUUUUUUUUUUUUUAUAAGUUAUGUAUUUGGCUCAAUUUAGGCUUUAUUUUUGUUUGAGUUUUUUAAUAAUGAAUAGAUUAACUCAAUUAGGCUGUGCAUUUCAUGAGGAGAAAGAAGAAAGCCAAUUUUUUUGCAAAUGACUUGUCCAAAACGACUUCGGUUUGAGCCAAGUCAUUAAAAAAAUUUGAAAACUCACUCACGAGUCACAUGAGAACCCUCCACGGAUAGAGCAAUCACUCAUUCAGCAUUCAGAACCUUCACUUUACCAAUAAUAUCUAAUCGUCUGCCGCUCGGCCCGCUUCUAUUCCUUUUGGCAAUCGAUCAACUCUCUGCUGCACUUUAGUUUCUGUUCACUAUUGCACCGACGGGCGGGGCGACGAGUCGAUGACAUCUCUUGGUGAAAAAUCUACAUUUUUUCUCCGUGUAAAGCUCUGGUCUGGACUCUGGAGGCUAGCCGCUGGGUCCUCUUCUUCUUGGUCGAAAAGGUUUGUAGUUUGUACUCUCUUUGAAUCUGUCCAUUAAAUAUUUUGCCAUCCUGUUAUGAUGCUGCACCUACUGAUGGUGCAUCAAUGAUGCUACACCUACUGAUGUUGCAUAUGAAUAGCAUGCUUUCAGCCUAGUUGCAAUCUUUACUCAAAUUUUAACUGUUCUACAGUUCAAAUGGAUAGAGGCACAUGGAGUUUUAUAGUCUUAUAGACCAGGCAAUUAGCACUUUUUUUUUUUUAUUUGGAGCUUUUAUAUUGGGACCAUCCUAAGUUAAAAUCUUUGAUCCACACUGAUCCUAUAUGACAUUGAUUAGUUUGUGUAUAGUAGAUCAGUUUAAAGUUUUGUUUUUUGCCAAACUUGAAUUGGGUUUAGAAUUAGGGUUUUUAAAAUUUCGUUUUAAAUUUAAGUAGAAAUUAUUAUGCAUGUGUACGGUAAUUUAAAUCUUUGUAAUCUAACAAAUUUUAUUUCCAAUUUUGUAGAUGUAAUAGCUCAUUAGAACCCGGAAGGCGAUGAGUUUUACACCUUGAUCGACGACUACACCUACUACUGCCGCCACUCCUUCGGCAGAGAUGGACCAUAGGUCAAUGAAUCCGGUUGACCCAGUUGGUCCUCCAGUCCUACUGGCACCGGCAUAUUCGACUUCUUCGAUGGUGCUACCUGUUAGCGCCCGACGUGCUCACUGGUGCCCCGCACUCCAUACCAGAUGUCGCCAACGGGAUCCACAACCAAUGCCUCCGGUACACAGCUAGGUAUACUAUCCUAAUUUACUACCUCAUUCCCAUGUUAACUUAGUUUUGUUAUUUUAGGUUUAGUUUGUUAAGUUAUGUCAUUUAAGGAUUAAAAAGUUAUCAUAUAUAUAUAUAUAUUGUUUAUUGUUGUCAUCGUUCCGAACCUAUUAUUAAACUGUUGUGAUCAUUGUGUUGGAUAUGUAUAUUGUUUUUCUUAUUUUUAGGGUUUUGGGAAAUGUUUUCAUUAUAUGGAGGUUAUGCAGAAAUUUUAGUAUGAUUUGUUAUUAAUUUUUCAUUUCUUUGCAGCCAAGAAAAACACCUGGGGACCUUGUCGGCAAUUGAAGGUCACCCGGGUGACCAAUGAUCGUAUCACAAUCGGAUAUGAUGAGCGACAUUGGACAACACCAACGACGGAGUAGCAUAGUGCAUUGGCCCAUGACAUUGGGCACGUCGUGCGGACCUUUUGCCCUAUGCAGUGGAAGUCUUGGAAGGCGAUGCCAGAGAAGGUGAAGAACACGGUGCGCAAUCAUUUGUUAGUAAGUAUUUUUGCCUUUUUAAUGCUUUUCAUCUAAAAUUUAUAUAUUUUAUAUUAUUAAUGUCUUUUAUUAAUAAUACUUUCAUAAUAUUUGUUACAUGUAGACAAACUACAAUUUGGAUGACAUCAACGAGGACAUGUUGACGUACCUCAAUCGGCUAUACUCCCGAACGCUACAAGUUGUGGAAGAGUGACUUGCACCAGUAUUUCGAGAUGUUUAGUGAUCCACAGGUCGCUCUCGAGGAGGGUUGCCUGAACGAGCUUGAAGACCGACAAGAUAAUUGGGAUUGACUUUGCGGUCAUUUUCAGGAGCCGGGCUAUGUGGUGCGUUUUUUAAUUAGGACUUCUUUCAUGUUACUUUUUAAAAUUUUUUACUAAUGUUUAUUAUGAUUUUUUUUAAAUUUUUAUGUUCUUUAAAUAUUACGACUAAUAUGUUUAUUUUGUGUAUAACAGAAGAAGGCGAAGGCGAACAAGGGCAAAUCGGGAGAAGAAGACUCUUUUCCACCAUUUCGGGUUUAAGGCUUUUCUCAUAUAGGAUGUAGGCGUGGCAGAAGGUAUAAUUACAGCUUUUAUUUCCAAUUUAAAAAUGUCGCUAAUAAUGUUUUUUUGUUUGUUUUCGUACUAACAUUUUCCUUAUCUUUUCUAUUUCAGGAGGGUUCAAAUUUCCCGGAGAUCGAUGUCUUUGCUAACGUUUAUGUUCGGCCUGGGAUGAGUUUGACCGAGUUACUUCUUGCAAGUAAUUUCUUAUGCAUUAAAGAUUUAUACUAAUGAUUUCAAAUUGUUUUUCUAUUAAUAAUCCAUGUUUUUUUUCAUAGGCGACUAUGGUGGAGAAGGGUUAGUUGCUUCAGGAGUUCGCCUCCCAGCUUCCCUAGGACACGCCAAUCGAUCUGUGGAUCCCUCUGAAGAUGCGGGGUUUCACAUCCUUACAGAGACGUUCAACCACACUUUUGGUCGGACGCAAGGGACAUAUUGUCGGGGGUUGGGAAAUGCCAGGUGGAGGGAGAGUAGAGCAUCUUCAUCCUUGCAGUCGAAGGGCGAGGUUAUGGCUUUGAACGCAGGAAGUCGCUAGCAUGAGGAGUGAGCUUGCAUCGUACAUGUCUUAAAUGUGAAUGCUUGUACAAGCCCUUAGUUCCUCCGGGAUCCGUCUCCCCAGUUUUUUUUGCACCACGACCGUCAGAGCCCCUCCACACCGUGCAUACACAGCAAUCAGGCCCGUCGACCUUCGACCCCGUCCCUAACCCCACCUUCUUCUAGCAGCAAGAUUACCAAGCACCUCUAAAUGACUUGCGUAUAGACUAUUCCUUAUUUUUUUCAUAGUUUUUGUUUCCUCUUUCUUUCUAAACUUUGUAUUUGUUUGUACAUUUUUUAUUUAUAUUAUAAAAAAUUGUUUUUUAUUCAUUAAUUUGUUUUUUUUUCUUCUGAAUUGUAUGAAAUAUAUAUUUUUAAUAAUAUUCCUUUUAUUCUAUUUAUUAUUAUUAUUUUUUAUUAAAAAUUACACUUGCGCGACGCAUACCUGUCGUCGUGUAAAACCACGCGCGUGUUACAUGUUUCGUCGUGCAAAGAUUUUCGAGACGAAUUUUAGACGUCUCCAGAAAUUCUCAUCACAAAACACUUGUACCCUUUUAUAUCAUGCGACGAAAGCCUUUGUCCGUAUACCUUUCGCGCAACGAAUGUGGACUUCUUCGUCUCACGAGGUCUUUUUUCACGACCUUUGCGCAAGGAUCAUGUUUACCUUUAUCAUGUUCUAUAUAAAAACAACUCUUCAUGCCGUAAGGAUUAUGUUGAUCUUUACCUAGACUACUCCUUUUGCUAUUGGACUUCAAAUAUUUUCUUUCCUACAAACCUCACCUAAUUAAAGGAAUCCCACCUUCCUCUCCUCUCUUGAUUUAUUGUAUUCUCUCAAAUGCUAUUAUAAUUUCAUCUCUCAUAUGCCAAAGGAAAAUCAAGUUGUUCGUACGAUCCAAGUAUCGUGAGUGUACGCUUAAGAUGAUUAUAGGUUGUUGUAUCCUGGAUGGUAGGGCGCCAUAACCUGCUACACCGAGACAUUGUCUUAGAGGGGCAAAAUCUACUCUUAAGGACAGUGACUACACACCUCAACCUAAAAAUCUUGUUCUAAUUGAGGAUCGACGAAGAACGUUCUCUACCUACAGAAGUUAAGUAUUUUAUUUUAUUUGGUUUAUUUUAUUUAAUAAAUUGAGGUGAUAAAAUUGUGAUAUACUAACAUUAUUUUAUGUGAUUUGUUGUAGGAGAAGUAGCAUCCUUAUCAAAAAUAUUUCCAACAAGUUCAAACCCUGUCGGCUCCUUAAUCUAACAUCUAAUCUAACAAAUCUAUCGUUUGACCAAAAAAAAAAUCUCAGGAUUUUUUUUGAAGUUUAAGUUCGCAAAGUUUCUAAUGGAUGGUCACGAUUAUAACAUCUAAAUGGUGUAGAUUGUGCCACAUGUCUUGUUUUAUAAUUGAUUUAAUUUGAUCAUGUGCAACUCAUGUGUGCCGUUGUUAUUGAGGUGUGAUGCCUAGAAACAGCUAUAUCACACGCUCCUCAUGCUUUCUUUUUAACAUAUUUUAGAGAGAGAGAGAGAAUCCAAUGUAGAUAUAUUCUUGAGAGAUUACAUUGGUGACCAUUCUUUCUUCCAUUUCUCUACAAUUCGACGAUCACAUUCUCAGUGAUUUCAUGAGUUAAAUCCUAUUGGAAAUCGAGUUCAUCACCCUAAACACACUAACAUGGCCUUAGAGAGCUAGGUUCGAAUUGAAUGAGGGGCAUGAUGAUCUGAGAAAUGUUCUUUGAGCUUUCAACCAAGAGCUCAAUAAAAUAAAUUGAAGAACAAAAUGUCUGGAUCUGGAGCUGAUAUUCAAGCUCUGAUUUUCAAUAUUGUCAACUAUGAAUUUUUGUGUGUCAAAUGAUGACUAUCUUCAAGUCUCACAAUCUCUUGGGUUGUGCUGAAAAUGGCUAUGAACUUCCCUAAGAUGAGAAGCAAAUGGUUGAGAAGUAGCUGAUUGUUGCUCAGGAUCUUAUUUCCAGAGAUGCAAAAGCCCUAAGGUUAAUUCAAAGUUCAAAAGUACAGGAGAGUGACGGAAUUUUUUUUUGAAUUCAGGAUUGCGAGGAUUGCAAUCAAAGACAUUUAACAAAGCUUUGGGAUGUUGAAGCGAAGCAGGAAUACAAAGGCGAUUAUCAGGUCAUGGCAAUGAAAUUACAAGGUAUCCGUCUUGAUUUUGAGAAUGCUAGAAUGAGUAAUGGUGGUGAAUCUCUAUUUGAUUAUUGGACUAGAUAGUUUGCUUUGCUUUGGUGAGUCAAAUGAAAAUGCACGGAGAGGAUUUGUUAAAUAAAAUUAUGGUGGUAGAGAAGCUGUACAUUAGCCUCACUCAUACUUAGGUUACUAUUGUAUCUUUUAUUGAGGGUACAAAGCAAAUCAGUGAGAUUGAUCCAACUGAGUCUACAACAACACCCAAAGGUUUUGAGCAAAGAUGAAUGAGACAUGCUGAAGAUGGAGAGGUGAAUGAAAGAGCAUUUAGUAGCCUAAGUAUUCAACCAAAACAGAACUCACAAGUUGGUGGUUAUAAAGGCAAUAAGCCUUGGAAGAAUAAGUAGUAGAAACACUAUGUGAAACAAAAUGAGAAGCCAAAUGUGAUUGUAAAGAACUAUGGUAGUAAAGGAGAUUGCAAGAUUUGUGCAAAUUUACAUUUUGGUGAAUGCUGAUUUAAAUCCAAAGUGUCACAAAUGUGAUACGUUUGGGCAUAUUGCCAAAGAUUGUAGGAGUAAAAUGGUCAAACAGGUUCAUUAUGUCAAGGAGGGGGGAAAGGCACUAGUAUGUUCUUUGCUUGCGAUUCCGCAACAACUGUCAAGAAUGAACAUGUCUGGUAUAUAGAUAAUGAUGGAUACAACAAUCACAUGACUUUACAUGAGUCAAUGUUGAUUGAUGAAGACAAAAAUGUGACUACAUGACUUUUUUUUUUUUAAACAACCGAUAUUAUCUAUACACUAAGGGGGAUGAGGUGUGCUUAUCUUCACAAUGGGCUAACAAUAAUGAGGUUCAAAUUCACUUUUGGCGAGAAUCAAAUCUAAGACCUCUCACUGACAAGCAAGGUUCUAAAAAACGCUAGGCUUUAGUCGGGUGUCGGGCUGGAGCCUAGCGCCUAGGCGGCUAGGCGGUUUAGGUGCCUAGUGUCACGGGAUGACUCUUUAAGCCUUCCGCCCGUGCGGCACUUAGACUUGAAUACCUCGAUGAACAAGCUAAGUAAGCCUUCGAAGCCUCGCUUCCCCGAAUCGAAUCACAAAGAAAGCUAAGAUAGCUUGGAGAAUGCUAAAAUCACUUAGAAGAUGGGAGAAAGGAAGCUUUGUAUUGAAACUUAUGAGAACUUUACAAUUGCUUACAAUUGUUGGAUGGAUUGGCCAAAUGGCCUUGCCUUCUAUUUAUAGGCCUAAGUUACCUCCUCAAUGGAGGGUUCUAGAAUUCCCUACUUACAUCCAAAAAUAUCUAGCAUAGUUCUAGAUACAACUUGCCUAAUCUAGAUUGUUCUAGGUGAGGCUUAAAUUUGUACACUUGUGUGGAAUGUUCCGGAAUGCCCUAGAUUAUCUUGAACGCUCCGUCAUGUUCUUGAUUUUUCCGGGAUGUUCCAGAAGCUUCCAUGAAGACAAGGCUUUAUGGGCUUUAGAUAUAUGAUGUCUUGGGCGUUUUCUUUGUUUUUAACAUACGGCUCGUGACAUCCUCCCCCACUUAAGCCGUAGACGUCCUCGUCGACUCUUGCCUCUCGAAUGUCUCAAUCAGGUCCUUAUAUUGCCAUAAGGACGUCUCCUUCUCCCAUGUUGCUUCGGAGUAUGGUAGCCCCUUCCAUUUGACAAAGUACUCCACAUGCUUUGGUUGUCUUGGUCGCACCACGACACGCUUGGAUUCAAUGCUCUCCACUUCUUUGUCAAAUGCCUCUGUCAUCAAAGGAGGUGCUCGGUGAGACUCACCUCAGCUUGGUUCCUCAUCGUCCGCAUGAUAAGGCUUCAAGUUGCUCACAUAGAACACCGGGUGAAACUUGAGGCGGGGUAGGAGUUCCACAACAUAAGCGGCUUUGCCAACCUUCUUGAUGAUAGGAAAUGGUCCCUCAUAUUUCCGCAACAAGCUCUUGUGCAAGCCACGAGUACUCUUGUACUGAGACGCAUUGAGCUUCACAAAGACUUGGUCGCCAGUUUGGAACUCCACAUUCCUUCGCUUACGAUCCGCCCAUUUCUUCAUCUUCUUUGAAGCCUUCUCCAAGUGAGCUCGAGCAAGUUCGUGGGCUAAUUGCCACUCCUUAGCGGUUUUAAAAGUUGCUGGACUAUUCCCCGUGUAGCCAGUCACGACCGUGUUCGGGGUCAAGGGUUGUUGCCCUAUAGCCAACGCGAACGGACUUUUCCCCGUCGACUCCAAACGUUGCAAGUUAUAAGAAAAUUGGGCAACAUCAAGUAACUUAGCCCAAUAUCGUUGAUUGGCACUAACAUAGUGCCGCAAAUAAGUCUCUAACAAUGCAUUAACCCGCUCCGUUUGUCCAUUAGUUUGGGGAUGAAAAGCCGUGGAGAAGUCUAACUUUGAGCCAAGUAGCUUGAAGAGCUCCUUCCAAAAUCUACCCGUGACGCGAGCAUCUCGAUCAUUGACUAUGCUCCUCGGAACACCCCAAUACUUCACCACGUGCUUUAGAAACAAGCGUGCAGCUACUUCGGCUGUGCACUCCACAGGUGCGGGUAUGAAAGUGGCAUACUUGGUGAAUCUAUCGACCACGACGAAGAUAGAUCCACAUUCAUCAGACUUGGGCAAAUGUGUGAUGAAAUCCAUUGUUAAACACUCCCAUGGUCUUGAUGGGGUGGGAAGUGGUUCCAACAGUCCUCCCGGUUGCCUUUGUUCCACUUUGUCUUGUUGGCACACAAGACAAGUCUUCACGUAUGAAUCUACAUCAUCCCGCAUUUGUGGCCAAUAAUAACCAUCGCUCACCAAAGCCAACGUGCGGUGAGUGCCAGGAUGUCCUGCCCACAUUGAGUCAUGGCACUCCUUAAGGAUUUCUUUCCUCAAGCUUCCCCACUUUGGGAUGUAGAUCCGCUUGCCCUUGGUGUAUAGCAAGCUGUCCUCAAGCCAAAACCUUCUUGUCUUCCCAUCCUUGACAAACUCCACAAUGUUCUUGGCUUGGACGUCAUGUGAUAAACCUUCUCGGACACGGCCCAAGAGAUGGCUUGCGGCUUGAGUACCGUAACCAUUAGCUCUACUCAUCUACUUAGAGCAUCGACCACCACAUUCUCCUUUCCUUGCUUGUACUCUAGCUUGUAAUCAAACUCCGCUAAGAACUCUUGCCACCUUGCUUGCUUAGGUGUGAGCUUUUGUUGGGUUUGAAGGUAGCUAGUGGCAACGUUGUCCGUCUUGAUGAUGAAUGGGGUACCAAGCAAGUAAUGCCUCCAAACUCUAAGGCAAUGGACGAUGGCGGUCAUCUCCUUUUCAUGGGUCAUGUACCUCUUCUCGGCAUUGUUUAGCUUGCGACUUUCAUAGGCUAUCGGAUGUCCCUCUUGCAUCAACACUCCUCUUAUGGCAAAGUCGGAAGCAUCAGUGUGCAACUCGAAUGGCUUGCUAAGGUCGGGCAACCUUAGUACAGGCUCCUCCAUUAGGGCCUACUUCAACCUCUCAAAGGACUCUUGACACCGGUCCGUCCAUUCCCAUGCCUUGUUCUUCUUAAGAAGGUCUGUUAAGGGUGCCGCUAUGGCUGAGUACCCUUUAAUGAAUAUCCGAUAGUAGUUGGCUAGCCCCAGAAAGGAUCGUAGUGUUGGGACCUUGGUCGGCGGUUCCCACUCUUGAAUGGCCCUGAUCUUGCCCUUUUCCAUCAUAAAGCUUGCCCUCCUUUAUCUUGUGGCCAAGAAAUUCUACUUCUUUUGUGGCAAAUGGAGCAUUUCUCCUUCUUGACAUAGAGUUCAUGCUCCUGAAGGGUCUUGAACACUAUGCACAAGUGCUCGACGUGUUCCUCCAAUGUCUUGCUAUAGACAACGAUAUCAUCAAUGUAAACCACGACAAACUUGUCAAGAUAAGGAUAGAAUACCUUGUUCAUCAAUGUGCAGAAUGUUGCGGGGGCAUUGGUCAGACUAAAUGGCAUGACUUUAUACUCGAACGAUCUAUAUCUGGUCACCAUCGCCGUCUUCGAUUCGUCUCCAGGGGCUAUCCUCACUUGGUAGUAUCCCGAUCGAAGAUCUAACUUUGUGAAGUACCUUGCUUGACCAAGUUGAUCGAAUAAGUCGGCGAUUAACGGAAGUGGGUACUUGUUCUUGAUGGUAAUCUUGUUCAAUGCUCUAUAGUCGAUGCACAACCUUAGGCUACCUUCUUUCUUGCGUUGGAACAAGACGGGUGCACCAUAUGGGGACUUGGAGGGUUGGAUGUAGGCAGCAUCAAGUAGCUCGUUGAGUUGCUUUCUCAAUUCCUCCAACUCGGGUGGCGACAUCCUAUAAGGUGAUUUGGAGGGAGGCUUAGCACCAGGCUCCAACUCAAUCGCAUGGUCGACCUCUCUCCUUGGUGGCAACUUCUUUGGUAGUUCCUUAGGCAUCACGUCCACAAACUCCACAAGGACGGCUUCCACUUGUUUCGGCAAAGGCCCGUGCUUCUCCUCUCCUUCAUUCAACAUUAGGGUUGCAAGAAAUGUGGCCUCGCCUUUCUUCCAAGACUUGGAAAAUUGAAUUGCCGACAAGUGUUGCGUACACUUCUUGGCUUGCCUUUCCAAUGGCACCAGGCAAGGUUGUCUUCCGUCGUCUAGGAUACAGAAGAUAUUGUAGAAGGGAAUGGGAAAGGCUCGUACCUUGUCCAUGAACUCUAACCCAAUGACUACGCCAUAGUCGUCCAUCUUGACUACGGUGAAGUCGAUCUUUCCCUUCCAUGUGCCAAUGUCUACUUGUACAUUGCGCGCAACUCCAACAAUGGGGGUGGCAGUGGAAUUUACCGUCUUCACGCUACCAGGCUCCUUUGUGACUCGGAGGCCAAGCCUUGUGGCUUCCUCCGACGUCAUGAAGUUGUGGGUUGCUCCCGUGUCCACCAACACACGCGUCGUCUUGUCACCAGUCUUGACGUCGACGAACAAUGAUCCUCCCUCAACUUGAGCCUUAGGUUGUGGGAGGGUUGUUUGGAUGGCAUUCAGUAGACGGAUGCAUCCCAUCCUUGUAUCGUUACUCUCCUCGGCCUUGUCCUCCUUGAAAGCCAUGACCUUAAGGGCCUUCUUUUGUGGGCAAUCUCGCAUCAUGUGAGGGCCGUCACAUAGGUAACAAGUGGGUUGCCAAGACUUACCCUUGCUUUUGUCAUGCUUAUCAGUUUUCUUCUCCUUCGGUUUGCUUGUCUCGGUCUUAUCUUUCGGCUUAUGUUCUCCCCCAUUUCUCUCAUGGUUACCCCUCUUCCCCGUGGACUUGGAAUCACCUUGGUGGCUUGAUUUAAACUCGAUCAAGGAUUCGGCGGCGGUAAUGGCAUCAGACAAUGUUUGCACGUGUCUCCUUUGUAGUUCGAGUUUUGCCCAAUUUUGCAGUCCACUCAUGAAGUACAUGAGCUUGUCUUCCUCUAACAUGUUGGGCACCUCGAAUAACAAACUCACGAAGGUGUUGACAUAAUCUUUGACGCUCCCCGUUUGCUUGAGCCACCUUAGUUUCUCCUUGGCUUCGUACUUGGCAUUUUGGGGAUAGAAGUGCAACAUAAGAUCUUUCUUAAAUUCAUCCCAAGUGGUGAGAGAGAACAUACCUUGCUCAAUCUCCAUGCUCCGACGACGCCACCACAUAAGGGCAUUGUCAGCUAAGAACAUGGUUGCUGUUGAGAUUUUGGACUCGUCAUCUUCAAGCUUCAGGUACUUGAAGUAUCGCUCCACGUUCCACACGAAUGUGUCGAGCUCCUUUGCUUCCCUCUUCCCAUUAUAGGAUUUAGGUUUAAAGGAGUCGAUUACCUUGGAGUCCAACGACUUGAUUUCCCUCGGCCCUUGCACGAAUUGCUUCACGACUGCUUCUUUACAAAACGCCACAUCUCCCUGAAAUUCCCUUGUGUCCUUUAUCUCUUCUUGAAGCGCCACAAACCUUGCCUCUAUGUUGUCAAGGUGAACCUGGACUUCCCUCCGCAUCUUGUCUGCCAUGGUGUUGAGAGCGCCAAGGAGCUCAUCUCGUAGCCCUUCCACCAAGCCACGCAGUUCAUCCUUACCAUUGUUCACUAUGGUUUGGAUUUCCUCCUUGUCAACAACGUCCUCAUCAAGUCGAGUAUCGAACUCGAGUAUGGUUCGUUCCACCUUCUCGAGUCGCUCUUCCAUGGUCUCCAUCGAUGCUUGCAAGUCCUUUAACUUUGGCUUGCUCUUGGCAACGUCUUGGACCUCGGCAGUACGCUCCCUUAGCUCAGAGACUCCGGACAUCAUCUCUCCACUUGCCAUAUCCUACUUUCCUUCAAGUGAUUCACGAACUAGGCUCUGAUACCAGCUGUCACGGGAUGACUCUUUAAGCCUUCCGCCCGUGCGGCACUUAGACUUGAAUACCUCGAUGAACAAGCUAAGUAAGCCUUCGAAGCCUCGCUUCCCCGGAUCAAAUCACAAAGAAAGCUAAGAUAGCUUGGAGAAUGCUAAAAUCACUUAGAAGAUGGGAGAAGGGAAGCUUUGUAUUGAAACUUAGGAGAACUUUACAAUUGCUUACAAUUGUUGGAUGGAUUGGCCAAAUGGCCUUGCCUCCUAUUUAUAAGCCUAAGUUACCUCCUCAAUGGAGGGUUCUAGAAUUCCCUACUUACAUCCAAAAAUAUCUAGCAUAGUUCUAGAUACAACUUGCCUAAUCUAGAUUGUUCUAGGUGAGGCUUAAAUUUGUACACUUGUGUGGAAUGUUCCGGAAUGCCCUAGAUUAUCUUGAACGCUCCAUCAUGUUCUUGAUUUUUCCGGGAUGUUCCAGAAGCUUCCAUGAAGACAAGGCUUUAUGGGCUUUAGAUAUAUGAUGUCUUGGGCGUUUUCUUUGUUUUUAACAUACGGCUCGUGACACUAGGCAGACUAGGUGGAUUUAAGUAAAUCUAUUAUGUUUCGUGUAAAUAAGUGUCCCAUUUGCACUUAAAAUAUAUAUAUAAUUUCAUCAUAAACUACAAAAUAGAAUGACAUAUAAUUAUGAAGUAUUGGAACAUAAUGAAAACAUGCGGAACAAGCAUGUAAUGUGUGUUCAUUUAACUAUUCAACAAGUCUCUUCCAAUUAAUUGAAAAAAGUAAAAUUGAAAUUGAAAGUUAUCUAUUUUCUGUUUAAGUAGUCGCAACCUAAGCGGGUGCCUAGGCAAGUUUGGACGGGUUAGGCAGGUGCCUAGGUAGUCUAGGUGGGUGCCUCAUCAGGUCUAGACACCCUUUCUUAAUUUUCAAAUGCCUAGGCAUUAAUCGGGGAGGCGGCUAGCAGCCUAGUGCCUAGGCAGGCGGGGAUUUUAAGAAUAGUGCUUAAAAGUAAAGAGAAAUGCCACUAGACUGUAGUACUAAGUGGCACUACAUGGCUUAAGAUGGGAAACAUACAGAUAUUACAAGCUGUUGCAAAAGGAACCUUGGUGAUUGAAACCAAAAAUAGUACAAGGCAUAUCAAAGAGGUUAUGCUUGUUCCUGAUUUAGAUAAAACUUGCUAAGUGUAGGCCAAAUGUUAGAGCAUGAAUAUUUCUUAUUGUUUAGAGAUGAUAAAGUUGAAAUAUUUAAAGAUAGAAGCCUUGAAAGACAUGUGGUCGUAGUACAAAUGACAGGAAACAUAUGUUUUCCUCUCAUCAUGAAGGAUAUAAUGCCAUCUGCAUUGAAAGCAAUAGCUGAAGAAGACUCUUGAGAGUGGCACAAAAGAUUUGGUCACUUGAAUUUUCAGAGUUUGCAUAUGUUGGCUGAUAAGGAAAUGGUAUUAUGCCUGUCUAAAUUGAAGAAAUCAAAUGUUGUCUAUGAAUGAUGCAUUGUAGGAAAACAUCACUGAGAGGCAUUCAGUAAGGAGAUGACUUGGAAAGCAAAUAAGCCAUUGGAGUUGAUACACUCUGAUGUAUGUAGUCCUAUGCAGGUCGCUACACUUGGUGGAAAUAGACACUUUCUGAUAUUUAUUGAUGACCAUACCACAAUGUGCUGACUAUAUUUCUUGAAGCCUAAGUCAGGCGUAUUAUGUGUAUUUAAAAGCUUUAAAGCUAUGGUUCAGCUUGAAAGUGAUUUUCAAAUUCAAAAAUCAAGACGUGACUGAGGAGGAGAAUAUACUUCUCUAGAGUUUCAAAGCUUCUGUGAUGAUCUAGGCCUUGAAAGGCAACUGACAGUGGCUUAUUCGCCAAAACAAAAUGGUGUUGCUGAGAGGAAGAACAUGACCUUUAUUGAAAUAGCUAAAGGCAUGUUACUUGAUAAGAAUCUACCUUAUGAUUUUUGGGGAAAAGCUUCUAACACUGCAAUAUAUCUUCUAAAUAGAUGUCAACUAAAGCUUUGCAGAACAAGAAUCCAUUUGAUGCAUUUAGUGGUAGAAAGCCAAGAAUAAAACAUCUCAGAGUGUUUGGCUGCAUUUGUUACAAUCAUGUUCCUGGACAACUGAGAUAAAACUGGAUAAAACUUUUGUGAAAGAGAUCUCUGUUGGUUAUGCGAAGUUGUGAAGGGUUACAAAGUUUGUAACUUAGCAAUCAAGAAGGUUUUUGUGUCAAACAAUGUUAUAUUUGAUGGAGAAGGUGUAUGGGACUAGAAAGCUGAAAAUGCAAUUGCCAUGACAUUUUCAGUGAAUUUGAACCUGAUUGAGAAGGAACAAAAAUAAUCCCAUGAACAAGGUGUAUGGCUGGUCACCCUCCUAUAAAUACCUCACGUAUCCCACUAAAAUGCUAAGCCAUUUGCUACCCAAAAACUCCCAAAACUGAAUAACAACACAUACAAUAACCGAAAUCCGGAGUGAGUAUGCUAGCAAUAUAGUUUUCCUGCUACUAAUUUCUAGAAAGGCUUAGGACUAUAAAUUCGUAUUACCUCUUUGAAACACAUGAAUUGAAAGUAACAUCCUACAUGUCACAGUUAGGUGUGCUCUAAUUUGUGGAGUUUAAAAAAGGGAAACGAGUGAAGACUGAAGAGGUAUAAUUUAUUUAUUUUUAAUUAAACACCUAAAUGGCGUUGUUUUGUUGGUUUUCCAGGGAAUAAAAAAGAAACGUCGAGCGCAACAGCAACAAAGUUAGGUGCUAGUUGGACACCUAAUUGGGCACUAGCGCCUAGGUGAGGCAUAGGCAGACUAGACAGAUUUAAGUAAAUUAUUAUAUAUUAUAUAAAUAAGUGUCUAAUUACAAUGAAAAAAUUAUACUUAAAUUAGGAGUUUGGGUUUAUUUAGCAUACAACAUAUAAAAGUAUUAGAUUUUUUGCUUUAAUUAGUGUCUUAGUAAUUUGAUGGUAUGAGAUGAAAAUUCAAGUGAUUACUAGUCUGUAGUGCUUUAAGAAAUAUUUUUGAGAAGUCUUAUGAAAAUUAUUAUAAAUUUUAAAAGAAUUAAUGGUGUUAAACAUGUGAAUAAGGGAUAAUUUGCUAUUGUUGUGCUUUGAAAAAAAAAUGCUUCUGCUGUGUUUUGAGAAUAAAUAACUGUAAGAUAAAGUGUUGAGUGCUUGCUUUACCUUUUUGAUAAAAGUGCUUUUAAAAAAUAAAAAUAAUAUCUUAAAUGACUAAACAUGAUAUGAAUAUGUUAAAUGACUAAACAUGAUAUGAUAUUUAAUGUGAGAUAAUAAUUGUCAAAGAGAAUUAUGUAAGGACAAUAAUUGUAAUUUUUUAAAAUAUAUGGGGAUGCACUUGUUAUUUGAAAACUUUAUUAAAUAGACACCGAUUACUAUAUUUUGAAAUAAAAAGGCAUUGCUUUUAGAAACAUGGUAGACUUUUCCUUUCUAUACUUUUUUACAAUCAUUGCCAACAGAUAUUUUAUAAAAAAAAUAUUUCUUUUUUGUUUUGUCAAACACAUUUAAUAUUUUAAAUUUUUUAAUAAGCUGUAUUUAAAAAAAAAAAAAACAUCACAAUUUUUUUGUGAUGUAGACAUGCAAGUGGUAAUUGAUGUAAUAUAUUUGGUGUAGACAUGCAAGUGCUAAAAAGCGUAGGCUGAGUGAUGUAGACAUGCUAGUGGUUGUAAUAUUUAUGGCGCCACACUUCCCGAUUUUUUUGUCGGCAUAUAUAUAUAUAUAUAUAUAUAUAUAUAUAUAUAUAUAUAUAUAUAUCACCUCCCAAUUCAUAAGGAGCCCUUUAGUGAAUAGUAUUGAAGGUGGCAGAAGCUCAUAGGAUGACAACUAAAGAAGACAAAAAAUGUUACUUUGUCACGAGGGAGAGAGAAAAUGAGUCUCUCUGCAUCAUCUUCUUCGUUGGGACAUGGAGGCUCCUCUUCCUUCAGCAAACCAAACCUCAUUUCCGAUAGAACCAGAGGUGUGGCAGCACAGAAAAUCAGACUCCUCGGCUUCUUUUCCGGCUAGAGGAGGGGCGGCCGUCCUCUUAGCGCCAUAAUAGGUUCGCUACGAUGCAUGGACACGGACACAGAUGCGAGGAUACGACACGAUACGACACGGGGAUACGUCAAAUUUCUAUAACCGAGAACACGAUACGUCAGGAAUACGACAAUUAAAAAAUAUAAUAAAUAAAUAUAUCUAAAACAUUAUAAAAUAAGCAUUCAAAUAUAUAUGAGACAUUUAUGUUAAGAGAUAAAAAACACAUCAUGAAAGCAUAUACAUAAACUUAUUAUAAACUAAACAUUGAUACCACUACACAAUAAUAUAUUAUAAUAUGUAAAAUACAAUAAUAUUAUAAUAAUACAAAAAGUUAAAAAGAGAAAAGCAACAGGCUUCAUCAGAUUCGAAGAUUCAUCAAAUUCGAAUGGACUAUGGGAUGGGUAGUGGUAUGAGUAUUAUAAUAUAUUAUUGUGGGUAUGGGUAGGCCUGGCAAACGGGUCGUGUCAGUCGUGUUCGUGUAACACCUGUUAUCUUAACGGGUCGUGUCGUGUCACACCUGUUAUCUUAACGGACGGGUCCUUAAUAGGUCGGGUCACUUUACCCAACGGGUAAAGUGACCCGACCCGUUAUGACCCGUUAAGAAAACUAUUUUUUUUUCCUUAAAUUUGCACAUACCACACAUUGUCACAUAAAUAUUACUUCGAAACAUUAAAACACAUUUGUCGCUUAAAUACUACAUCUACACUUGAAAAUAAGAGCCUCAUAAAAAAUACAUCCAUACACUACUAAUCUAUUACAAAUAUUAAAUGUGCAAGGAUAUGCAAAAUGAAAGCGUUUUUGUUUUCAAGGUUGUAAAGUUUUUCUCAAAAGUUUAAACAUUGCCAAUGAAACUCAAAGCUUAAUGAAAGUGACCCACUAGUGUGUUUAUUCGUACUUUCAUUAAGUAUAACAUAAGAUUUUGUGGUAUCCACUAGUGUAAAUAUUUUAAAUUGAAGAUCGAAUUCAAUCACUGUAUUCGUAUAGGGUAAAGGAGUGUAGUUGUAAAAAAUCAUCAAAAUCGGAGUUAAAAUAACCAUUAAAUUGUGAUUUUUCGUUUAUAACCUUUGAAAAGUUUUGUCCCGUUACUUAAUCUUUGAAUGUUUGUUUUUUGCAAUUUUUGGCGUAUGCGAUCUCGAACCAUAUACAAACAAGUAUGAUGGUUAGAUCGUUGAAACUAGUUUCGUAGAAUGCGUAUCUCAUCAAAACAAUAGAUUAACUAACACUUAAAAGUUUAUUCUUACUUUCAUUAAGUAUAACAUAAGAUUUUGUGAUAUCCACUAGUGUAAAUAUUUUAAAUUGAAGAUCGAAUUCAUUCAUUGUAUUCAUAUAGGGUCAAGGACUUUUAAUUUUUAGAACAUCAUUCAAUCAGACUUUUAAUUUGAUUUUACUGAUCAUGUAUAUAUAGGAUUAAAGCCAUUUGUGACACUCUUUCAUGGGGAUGUUCCCCAAGCUUUAGAAGAUGAAUAUGGUGGUUUCUUAAGCCCUCGUAUUGUGUAAGUGAACAAAAUUUAUUCUCUCAGUGAUAAUUUGAUAAAAUGCAUACUGAUAUUCGUAACAUAAAUGUGUAUCUACAGCGAUCAUUUUAAAGACUAUGCGGAACUUUGUUAUAAGGAAUUUGGUGAUCGAGUCAAGCACUGGUUCACGGAAAAUGAGCCAUAUACUUUUAGUUACAUGGGUUAUGCUGUUGGUACUCAAGUACCGGGACGCUGCUCUUCUUGGCAAAACCUAAACUGCACCGGUGGAGAUUCAGCCAUUGAACCAUACUUGGUGGCACACCACCUUCUUCUUGCUCAUGGAGCAGCUGUAGAAUUGUACAAGAAUAGAUAUCAGGUUCAAUAACUUUUGUUCUUUUUUUUUGGGGUCAGAUUAUUGGCUCCUAAUUGAGAAUUCUAUAUGAAUCAUUAUUAUUGAGUUGUAAUACAAGAGGGAAUACUCUCUGUAGUGAGAUAAUCUAAAGGUUGUAUCUUUUUCCAUAGCUCCUAUUUGUUCAACCAAAAUUCGUAUUUUUGUGUAGGCAACUCAAAAAGGCCUGAUAGGGAUAACAUUGGUGUCAGACUGGUUUGAGCCUGCUUCGGAUUCAAAGCAAGAUAAAGAUGCUGCCUUACGAUCUUUGGAUUUUAUGUUUGGAUGGCAAGUGUCUUAUUAAAUUAUAUAUCAACCCAAUUACAUGUUUACUUAUGAAUUGAAACAUUGAUACUACCUAGCUAGCAGUACUCUUUAUAUAUAAUAAUAUAAUUAGGCUAAUAUCCGGAAUUGUCAUGUUUUGUAGGUUUUUGGACCCAUUAACAAGUGGUGACUAUCCACACACCAUGCGAUCAAUUGUUGGGAAAAGAUUGCCCAAAUUCACAAAAGAACAAUCCAAGUUGCUAAACGGAUCAUUUGAUUUUCUUGGAAUAAAUUAUUAUACUGCUAGAUACGCAAGUAGUGCACCCAACAACAAUUCACUACCGGCAAGCUACGUAACAGAUUCUCGAGCUGAUCUUACAAGUGAGUGCAAAAGGAAACUUAGUUUGAAUAGCUUAAGUUCUUUGUACUUCUUUGCCUAGUUUAACUUCUUAAUUACUUUAAUUAUAUUCUAAUAUUUACACCAAUUGUAUUCUAAUGUUUGUAAAUAUUGUGGCAGCUGAGCUUAAUGGAGCACUCAUUGGUCCACAGGUAAAUAUCAAAUUUAUCAUUUUGAGGUAUUUGCAUUUGGAGGAGUAGUUUUUUUUUCCCCCCAAUAUUUAUGUAUUAUCUUCAAAUGGUGUUGCAGGCUGCUUCAGAUUGGUUAUAUGUAUAUCCAAAAGGAAUUCACGAUCUUGUGCUUUACACAAAGGAAAAAUAUAAUGAUCCACUAAUUUAUAUUACUGAGAAUGGUAUGUAAUACAAACUUUUAAGCCUUGAUUAAUUGCAAAAGUUUCACAUAUUUAUAGUGGUGUAAAAUGAAACUACACGUUUUCUUUUAGUUUUAGAGGAAGAAACUAAAUUUAAUUUUUGUGUGUAAUAAUAUGUACAUAGGUGUAUCAGAGUUGAAUAAUCCAGAACUAUCACUUGAAGAGGCCCUUCAUGAUACCAGUAGAAUUGACUACUACUAUCGUCACCUGUGUUACCUUCAAGCGGCGAUCAAGUAAGUAGUUAUUAACAAAAUGAUUAAGGCUAUAUACUGCCUAGCCUUCUUAUGUUAUGGUUAUUUAAUCAUUAUAUUGACCUAACCAAUUUGUACAUUUGUGUGUGUGUGUGCAGAAAUGGCGCGAAAGUGAAGGGAUACUUUGCAUGGACAUUGUUAGACGACUUUGAAUGGACUGCCGGAUACACUGUCCGAUUUGGUUUAAACUACGUGGAUUAUAAAGAUGGCCUGAAAAGAUACCCAAAACUCUCAGCACACUGGUUCAAAAAUUUUCUUAAGAAGAAUAAAUUCAAAGAAAGCUACAGUUCAUUAUAAACAUUUAAGUGGAUAAUUUUUUUAUUUUUUUAUGUAUUUAUAUUUCAAUUCCUUAUGCAUUUGUAUUUCCUUGCAAUAAUGUAAACAUUCUUUGAGAUUCAAUAAUUCAAUAAAAAGCUAUAAGUGCUGUGAAUGCUACAAUAAAACCUCUCUCUAUAAACGAAUAACUUAUUUGUAGUCAUAAAAAGUUUUAGUCCAUGUUUGGGUUUAGGAAUAAAUUUCACAUUGUAAUAAGUUAUCAUUUUAAUAGGUCCUGUUGUAAGGAAACUCAGUUCGACAUGGUAGUAAUUGUUAAUAGGGAACUUUAACGAAAAACUCCUGGUACUGUUCACUUUAACAAAAAACCACAAUUUUACACUAAAAAGUCAAUCCUGGUACUAUUCACUUUACCUUUUAUUUUGUCGUUAUCGUUAAAACUCAAAGUUUUUAAGCAAUUUUUUAUUAGUUUUCCUUUGUUAAUAAGGACAAUAAUAAGCUACACCACAAAUAAAAUUUUAAGAUGGAAUAAUUUUAUUUUAUUUAUUUAUUAUUUUUUUUGGAGAUAAUACUACAGCUUUGAGCUUGCAGGUACGUAUGUAAAACCUUGUCAAUAUCUUCUUGUUGAAGUCAAAAUAUUUCUAACUCCUCAUGAGAAUCAUCUUUCCCUUCUUUCCUAAUUGUAUUAACGAUUAUUUUUUCAAUUAAAGCGUGAUCAACUUUUUACACAACUGAACACAAAUGUUUUCAGUUAGCUGACUUUGCAUAUGACUUUGGGUUACAUGACAAUUUUGAUAGAAGAAAAGAAAAAGUGUACGCUUGAAUUGGUCGAGGAUUGUAUUGUACAUAUUUUUAAAACUUUUGCUAUGUAUUAUAAACACCUAUUUUUAAUUCUUUGUUGAACAUAAGGAUUCUAAUUGAUUUUAAUAUAUUCCACCUGUUUAACACAAUUUUAAAAACUGAUGGCACACGCGGGCUCAAUUGCUUGUAAGAGACUAUUUACAAAUAAUGGUGAUGCACAAAAUAAGUGAGACUAUGGAACGACGUAUGGUGUCAAGUUUGUUACCUUCACAAAGUUAUUUCCGUCACCUAGUGAGGAUAAUAUGUAAAGAUAUAGAGGGUAGAUGAGUUCUUAUUAAUAGUGAAGAGUUUACACAAUACACACGUUCAAGCAUGAAAUUGGUUCCAAGUGAAAUAUCCUGUAAUUAAAAUUCUAUAUACGCUUGACUGGCUAGUCAUCAACACUUGUCAACUAAAAUUCUAUAUAUGCUUGACUGGCUAUCCAUCACCAACCCCGUAUGAUUUGAGACAACUUGUGGAGUUCGCACAUGCAAUUGUUGUAGGCAUGGGGAAUAAUUGUUCUACUGCUGAGUGGCGUUCUAGGAAAUAUGUGCACGAUUGUAUCAAGAAGGUGGUGAUGGAUGAAUUAUUAGUAAUUAUGCUGUUGAUGGAUCAAUAAUUAAUUUUGUGAAUUUUUUUUUGUUAUAUGUUGGAAUGAAUUAUUUGCAUAUAUGUGUAACAUUGUAAGUAUACUCUUGAUGAUGAUACGAACAAAGAGUUGAUGAAGUUGAUGGAGGCGGCGUUGGAGGGAGGUUACAACCGGUGGCGCUAUGACGUUAAGCAGAGUGGAGCACCAUCGAAAUAGUAGUUUUAAAUUUUUGUUUUUGAGGACACUAUUUAAAUUUAAGGUUUUUUUU